rnacentral:rRNA from 1 species
GUAAAGAGCUCGUAGGCGGCUGUUCAAGUCGAACGUGAAAACUCGGAGCUACAAUCGUCCGAGCCUGCGUUCGAUACUGGACGGCUAGAGUCUGGUAGGGGGAUCGUGGAAUUCCUGGGUGUAGCGGUGGAAUGCGCAGAUAUCAGGAGGAACACCAGUGGCGAAGGCGGCUCACUGGUCCGGUACUGACGCUGAGGUGCGAAAGCGUGGGGAGCAAACAGG